rnacentral:rRNA from 1 species
CUGGCGGCGGUCUACCAUGCAAGUCGAGCGGUAACAGAAAGUAGCUUGCUACUUUGCUGACGAGCGGCGGACGGGUGAGUAAUGCUUGGGAACAUGCCUUGAGGUGGGGGACAACAGUUGGAAACGACUGCUAAUACCGCAUAAUGUCUACGGACCAAAGGGGGCUUCGGCUCUCGCCUUUAGAUUGGCCCAAGUGGGAUUAGCUAGUUGGUGAGGUAAUGGCUCACCAAGGCAACGAUCCCUAGCUGGUUUGAGAGGAUGAUCAGCCACACUGGGACUGAGACACGGCCCAGACUCCUACGGGAGGCAGCAGUGGGGAAUAUUGCACAAUGGGCGCAAGCCUGAUGCAGCCAUGCCGCGUGUGUGAAGAAGGCCUUCGGGUUGUAAAGCACUUUCAGUCAGGAGGAAAGGUUAGUAGUUAAUACCUGCUAGCUGUGACGUUACUGACAGAAGAAGCACCGGCUAACUCCGUGCCAGCAGCCGCGGUAAUACGGAGGGUGCGAGCGUUAAUCGGAAUUACUGGGCGUAAAGCGUACGCAGGCGGUUUGUUAAGCGAGAUGUGAAAGCCCCGGGCUCAACCUGGGAACUGCAUUUCGAACUGGCAAACUAGAGUGUGAUAGAGGGUGGUAGAAUUUCAGGUGUAGCGGUGAAAUGCGUAGAGAUCUGAAGGAAUACCGAUGGCGAAGGCAGCCACCUGGGUCACACUGACGCUCAUGUACGAAAGCGUGGGGAGCAACAGGAUUAGAUACCCUGGUAGUCCACGCCGUAACGAUGUCUACUAGAAGCUCGGAGCCUCGGCUCUGUUUUUCAAGCUAACGCAUUAGUAGACCGCCUGGGGAGUACGGCCGCAGGGUUAAACUCAAUGAAUUGACGGGGGCCGCCCAGCGGUGGAGCUGUGGUUUAUUCGAUGCACGCGAAAACCUUCCUACCUUGACUACGAGACUUACAAAAUGGUUGGUGCUUCGGACUCUGUACGGGCUGCUGGUGCCUCGCUCGGUUGGAAUGUGGGUAGUCCGCACGGCGCACCCUUCCUAGUGCUACCGUAUGUGAAAUCUAGGACUGCGGGUAACCGGGAAGG